rnacentral:rRNA from 1 species
UGGGGAAUCUUGCACAAUGGGGGCAACCCUGAUGCAGCGAUGCCGCGUGAGCGAUGAAGCCCUUCGGGGCGUAAAGCUCUUACGACCGGAACGAUAAUGACGGUACCGGGAGAAGAAGCUGCGGCUAACUACGUGCCAGCAGCCGCGGUAAUACGUAGGCAGCAAGCGUUGUUCGGAGUUACUGGGCGUAAAGAGUGCGUAGGCGGUUUUCUAAGUUCGGUGUGAAAUCUCCCGGCUUAACUGGGAGGGUGCGCCGAAGACUGGGAAGCUGGAGUGUGGGAAAGNCAGGCGGAAUUCCUGGUGUAGCGGUGAAAUGCGUAGAUAUCAGGAGGAACACCGGCGGUGUAGACGGCUUGCUAGACCAUAACUGACGCUGAGGCACGAAAGCGUGGGUAGCAAACA